rfam:Aspergillus rambellii strain SRRC1468 contig00146, whole genome shotgun sequence.
GGUCUUGUGAUGUAGUGGUUAGCAUAUUGGCCUUUGACUCCAAAUACCCCAGUUCGAAUCCGGGCAAGACCU